GGGAUUUUAGUUCAGUUGAUUCGGAGCGCUGCCUUGACAGGGCAUAGGUCGUGGGUUCGAGCCCCUCAAAUCCCA
rnacentral:tRNA from 1 species